UUCCUCAGCAUCGCCACAAACAUAUGGUCUAUGAAUCAUCUUCCAGAUAUUCAGCACGGCCCUUCACCUCAAGCACAUAUUCAGUACGGCUACUGCCCUUCGCCUCAAGCGCAUACUCAGCAUGGCUACUGCCCUUCGCCUCAAGCGCAUACUCAGCAUGGCUACUGCCCUUCGCCUCAAGCACAUAUUCAGCAUUGCCAUGGCUCUUCACCCCAAGCACAUAUUCACGAUAACCUUUCACCCCUUUUGCCCCCUUCACCGUCUUCAUCCACCUUGCUCCAAGAGCAUAUUCAGCAUGAUCCUUCACCCCAAGCACAUAUUCAGCAUUGCCAUGGCCCUUCACCCCAAGCACAUAUUCACGAUAAUCCUUCACCCCCUUCACUAUCUUCAUCCACUUUGCUCCAAGAGUAUAUUCAGCAUGAUCCUUCGCCUCAAGCACAUAUUCAUCAUUGCCAUGGCCCUUCACCCCAAGCACAUAUUCACGAUAACCCUUCACCCCUUUCACCCCCUUCACCGCCUUCAUCCGCUUUGCUCCAAGAGCAUAUUCAGCAUGAUCCUUCGCCCCAAGCACAUAUCCAGCAUAGCCAU
rnacentral:lncRNA from 1 species